rfam:Felis catus isolate Cinnamon breed Abyssinian chromosome A1, whole genome shotgun sequence.
ACCUGCGUGGCUCAGUCGGUUAAGUGUCUGACUUCGGCUCAGAUCAUAAUCUCAUGGUUUGUGGGUUCGAGCCCCACAUCGGGCU